rnacentral:rRNA from 1 species
CUAUAUAGUUCCCCACGGUAGCGGUUAGACUUAAGGGCUAAGCCUUUAUAGGUAAAAGGGCGUAAAGGGUGUGUAGGCCGACAAUUCCCCCCCAAGGUGGUAAAUGGAAUUUUUCUGUAACGGUAGAAUGUGUGGAUAGAAAAUAGAACCCCAAAGGCAAAAGCAAUUUACCUCGGGGAUGGGGGAAACCAGAGAUUCCCAUCGGGACCUAUCACUCCCCCCGAGCACAGGCUGAAACACGAGGGUGUGGGGAACAAACAGGAUUAGAGACCCUGGUAGUCCACACUGUAAACGAUGAAGAAAAUGUUAAUGCAACCCCGAAAGGUAGUAAUCUUCCGCCUGAGUAGUACGAUCGCAAGAUUAAAAUUCAAAAAAUUUGGCUGUUCACUGUUUCGAUUAGAGGAGCGUGUAGUUUAAUUCGAUAAACCGCGAGAUACCUUACCCAAACUUGAAUCACCCAUCCGAGAUUGAAUGGUCUCGGGGGGGUAGACCGGUAUUGCAUGGCCGUCGUCAGUUCGUGUAUGAAACCUUUAACGGACCUAACCCGAGGGGUUAGCCGCGGAUGAAGUCAGGUCUUAUGAUCCCUAUGUUUGGGGAUAAUAUGCGCUACAUUUUCUUAUACAAUGGGAAACCUGAAAGGUGAAACCCCAAAGUAGGAGUUCGGUAGGUCAUUGUAAGAUGACCGAAAGUUGAAUUUAAUAGUAAUCGGAAAGUAGAGCGUUCCGGUGAAAUGGUCUAAGUGUUAGAAAAUAUGUCGCCGGUASA